CCCAGACUCCUACGGGAGGCAGCAGUGGGGAAUAUUGCACAAUGGGGGAAACCCUGAUGCAGCGACGCCGCGUGAAGGAUGAAGUAUUUCGGUAUGUAAACUUCUAUCAGCAGGGAAGAAAAUGACGGUACCUGACUAAGAAGCCCCGGCUAACUACGUGCCAGCAGCCGCGGUAAUACGUAGGGGGCAAGCGUUAUCCGGAUUCACUGGGUGUAAAGGGAGCGUAGACGGCGACGCAAGUCUGGAGUGAAAGCCCGGGGCCCAACCCCGGGACUGCUCUGGAAACUGCGUCGCUGGAGUACGGGAGGGGCAGGCGGAAUUCCUGGUGUAGCGGUGAAAUGCGUAGAUAUCAGGAGGAACACCGGCGGCGAAGGCGGCCUGCUGGACCGUGACUGACGUUGAGGCUCGAGAGCGUGGGGAGCAAACAGGAUUAGAUACCCCUGUA
rnacentral:rRNA from 1 species